GGAAAAAAUAUUACAAUUGUUAUUAAUAAAUACUAUUUUUGAGCAGACAAACUAGAAGUAUUUUUCAUCGGUUGAACAUUUUUAUAAUAUGACAAUCUAUUCUUUUGUGUUCUUUUGGUUCAUGGAGAACCACAUCCAACCCCGCACAUACACAUGCUUUAUAAAAAAAAAAAAUUGUCAAGUUCGCUCACACAUUUAUAAUCUAAUCCUCGCCGAGUCGCCGGACGGCUGCCAGAAAUACCACCUCUACUGCUCACCAUCGCUACUCAUAUACAUGUGUGCGCCACUGUAGCAUAGCAGUGGAAGCAACGUAGAUUGUUUUUAUUCAUUAUCUUGUUAAAAGAAAAAAGUUGUAGUGUUGUGCCCUAGUAUAUAAGGCAAUGGAAAAUCAUAUCAAUAAACAAAUAAAAUAAUAAAAAAAGCCAUAUUGUGCCCAGGGCUAAUAUUAAAACACUCAGAAUAAAUGAAUUCUGCUUGGAUAAAUUUGUGGUUCAGCAAAAUGGUAGCAGCCGACUCACCAACGGACGACAGUCUUUAUCCAAUUGCAGUUCUGAUCGAUGACUUAUAAAAUGCAAAUUUACAACUGCGAUUAAAUUCAAUCAAAAAACUUUCAACGAUUGCCUUGGCACUUUGUGCUGAACUAUGAGUUGAUACAUUUUGUUCCAUUGGUACAACGUUUGGCAUCUGGUGAUUGGUUUACGUCAAGAACAUCGACAUGUGGUUUAAUAAGUGUAUCUUAUCCACGUGUAAGUACAGCAACAAUAGCUGAAUUAAGAAAUCAUUUUUGUAAUUUAUGUCAAGAUGAUACACUAAUGGGGCGACGUUCAGCAUCAUCAAAAUUGGGAGAAUUUGCGAAAGUUGUUGAAAUUGAGUAUUUAAAAUCUGAUUCAAUUCUAAUGUUUGUUAUACUUGCACGAGAUGAACAAGAUUCUGUUCGUUUAUUAGCUGUUGAUGCAUGUGUUAGUAUAUUGCAACAUUAUUACAACGAGAAGAUGUUGAACAACGUGUUAUGCCAAAAUUACGUCAAUGUGCUGCUGAUUUAUCAUGGCGUGUACAUUAUAUGAUUGAUGAUAAAUUUAUAGAUCUUGGAAAAGCAGUUAAUUAUAAACGUACCACAUUCCGAAAAUAUAAUUUUAGUUUUUCUGAGUCAUUAAAUGUGAUGGUUAGUUUAAAUAAAUAUAUUUGAUAAAAUUGAUGAACAUA
rnacentral:lncRNA from 1 species